rnacentral:rRNA from 1 species
GAUGAACGCUGGCGGCGUGCCUAAUACAUGCAAGUCGAGCGAACAGACGAGGAGCUUGCUCCUCUGACGUUAGCGGCGGACGGGUGAGUAACACGUGGAUAACCUACCUAUAAGACUGGGAUAACUUCGGGAAACCGGAGCUAAUACCGGAUAAUAUAUUGAACCGCAUGGUUCAAUAGUGAAACACGGUUUUUCUGUCACUUAUAGAUGGAUCCGCGCCGCAUUAGCUAGUUGGUAAGGUAACGGCUUACCAAGGCAACGAUGCGUAGCCGACCUGAGAGGGUGAUCGGCCACACUGGAACUGAGACACGGUCCAGACUCCUACGGGAGGCAGCAGUAGGGAAUCUUCCGCAAUGGGCGAAAGCCUGACGGAGCAACGCCGCGUGAGUGAUGAAGGUCUUCGGAUCGUAAAACUCUGUUAUUAGGGAAGAACAAAUGUGUAAGUAACUAUGCACGUCUUGACGGUACCUAAUCAGAAAGCCACGGCUAACUACGUG